rnacentral:misc_RNA from 1 species
UUAAGUUCAACGGGUAGCCCUACCUGAUUUCAGAUCAAAGUUUGAAUGAGUUUUCUGUAUUAUCAAGACUGAUUUCCAGAAGCAAAUGUAGCCAAAGAUUUGACAAAAGUCAAAACUAUUAGGCCAAACUGCUGUAGUAGGAAACAGCCAAGAACUACAUUUUAGGAGUGCCGACUAUUGAAAUCGGCGCAUCCCAAUUC